rnacentral:rRNA from 1 species
AUUGAACGCUGGCGGCAGGCUUAACACAUGCAAGUCGAGCGGAGAUGAGGUGCUUGCACCUUAUCUUAGCGGCGGACGGGUGAGUAAUGCUUAGGAAUCUGCCUAUUAGUGGGGGACAACAUUCCGAAAGGAAUGCUAAUACCGCAUACGCCCUACGGGGGAAAGCAGGGGAUCUUCGGACCUUGCGCUAAUAGAUGAGCCUAAGUCGGAUUAGCUAGUUGGUGGGGUAAAGGCCUACCAAGGCGACGAUCUGUAGCGGGUCUGAGAGGAUGAUCAGCCACACUGGGACUGAGACACGGCCCAGACUCCUACGGGAGGCAGCAGUGGGGAAUAUUGGACAAUGGGCGGAAGCCUGAUCCAGCCAUGCCGCGUGUGUGAAGAAGGCCUUAUGGUUGUAAAGCACUUUAAGCGAGGAGGAGGCCACUUUAGUUAAUACCUAGAGAUAGUGGACGUUACUCGCAGAAUAAGCACCGGCUAACUCUGUGCCAGCCGCCGCAGUAACAC